GAUGAACGCUGGCGGCGUGCCUAAUACAUGCCAGUCGAGCGAACGGACGAGAAGCUUGCUUCUCUGAUGUUAGCGGCGGACGGGUGAGUAACACGUGGAUAACCUACCUAUAAGACUGGGAUAACUUCGGGAAACCGGAGCUAAUACCGGAUGAUAUUUUGAACCGCAUGGUUCAAAAGUGAAAGACGGUCUUGCUGUCACUUAUAGAUGGUUCCGCGCUGCAUUAGCUAGUUGGUAAGGUAAUGGCUUACCAAGGCAACGAUGCAUAGCCGACCUGAGAGGGUGAUCGGCCACACUGGAACUGAGGCACGGUCCAGACUCCUACGGGAGGCAGCAGUAGGGAAUCUUCCGCAAUGGGCGAAAGCCUGACGGAGCAACGCCGCGUGAGUGAUGAAGGUCUUCGGAUCGUAAAACUCUGUUAUUAGGGAAGAACAUAUGUGUAAGUAACUGUGCACAUCUUGACGGUACCUAAUCAGAAAGCCACGGCUAACUACGUG
rnacentral:rRNA from 1 species